AUACUCACCUCGACUGGCUGCUGAGAUCACAUCACCCGUUCUUCAAAACCUGCACUGGCCCAAUGGUUAAAUACAGGAUUCCCUUUAAAAUACUAUUCACCACCAACAAAGCCAUUAAUAAACUCGCCCCUCCCCUCUCCUCCUCUCCCCCACCAAACCCCUAACCGAUUCCUCAAAUCUGGACGCUCCUACACUACAAAUGAUCAGGACAAAGCACCGGACCUCGGGCGACAGUUCCUUUGCAGCGACCACACCCUCUUUCUGCAUGCCCUCCCCUACCUCACCCGACAGGCUCGAAACCUGCCAUCAUUCAAACUGACCAUCAGAACCCAGCUUUUCAAGCUUGCGUGCACCGUUCCCUUCACUCCCCUCCCUCCGUUUCAAAAUUCAACUCGUUAAACGACCUAAAUGUCUUUUAUUCUUACAGGUACCCAUUAUAUGAUUUUAUCCUGUGUGUUUAAUGUGAGGUGACUUUCAAUACCUAGAAAAACACUACACUAUUUGAACGUUUUCAAAUAAAUAACAUUGGCGACAAUAAUACGAACCAACAUAAACAUAAAUUGUCUUUUGAAUGGUUGUUAUGGGUCCUAACACCUAUCAACUGAAUUUAUUUUCAAUAUAUAUUUCCAAUACAGUAACGCACAUGUUUCAAUAUUGUGUUUUUCUUUUACCCGCUGUGGUCAAGUUAUUCAUUUUUAUUCGCAACCCGAAAUUUUUAAUGACAAUAUUUAUAUGUGUGCAUAGCACAGACUAGUGAGCUUUCCGGUUCAAGAAAUAUCCCAGGGUUUGUUUCUGGACUCUACAACUUUUGCAGGGGGAUUCCUGUGGGGUAGUAGACCCUCUUUGCUGCUGUAGGUCAGAUAACCAACCAAAAGGGGGUGCAAUGCAAUUCCACUGUGUGAUGCAUGCAUUCUGCUGCUAUGGUAUGGUUGGCAAACAGAACAUCUGGAUUGACAACGACCAACAUAACGGAGCACUGUCUAAGUUGGUCAAGGACAAACCCCAAGAUUGGGACAAGCAUUUGGACGCUGUCAUGUUCGGCUUAAGAACCAAGCGCCAGUUGACUACCAAAUUUUCGCCAUAUUUUUUAAUGUUUGGCAGGGAGGCGAGGUACCCAUGUCAAGUACCUGCUGAAUACAGGGUUGACAGCAGUGUUGAACAAACCAUGUCUGUGGAAGAGGUCACUGAAGAGGCACUGAAGCUGUGAGACGUCCUUCAAAAUGCAAUCAAAAACAGUGACCUCAAACAAAGACAAUUAAAAAAUAAAGAGAAGGCCACCAACAUCUUCAAGAUAGGGAUGAAAGUGUGGAGGUUAAAUGUGAGGAGCCAGCAGAGGAAAGGGGGGAAAUUGGAUCCACAACUCCUUGGACCUUACAUAAUCUCCACUAUCCAGGGAAAAAAUGUUGAUCUUGUGGACAGCCGGGGAGUGGUGUUCCCCAAAAUCAAUUCUGAUCACCUAGCUCGGUACAUAGAGGAGAAGCCUAGGGUUCCACAUAAGUGCGCUGUUCCAUCCUCCACUGUGCCCCCCUCCACCUCAACUGUGCCCACUUCCCCUGUGCCCCCCUCCACCUCAAUUGUGCCCAC